GCCCCGUCCGCGCAGCUCGUCCGGCCCGCCCGCAGGCCAGCUUCUCUCGGGAGCCUCCACCCAGGCGCAUGGCUCCAUGAAGCAAGAGGAGGAGGCAGAGCGCGAGAGAUCCCGUCCGCCCCAGCCGCGUCUGGGCCAGGAGAAAAGCAAAACCAUAUUCCUGCUGCUGUCAGUUUUGAUGCACUGAGAAAACUUCAGAGACCUAAGCUUUUUCCAGAGAAGAGAAGCUUUACUGGUGUUCCAGCCCUAAGAAACCUUUGUUCAACAAAACUGCAGAUGCUCUGUUGAAUCCACUGGAGAUUGUCCUGAUACUAAGGACAAGUAUCAACCAUCUUUCCUGUGAAAAAUUCCCUCUCCUAGUACUUUAGUUCUGUGGAUCCAAAAUUUAUAGCAUUCUUCUACCACCACAGGGGCUCAUAUGACAUUAACAGACAAGACACUUUUCAGAAAGACAGGCAACGUGUUGGACCUUCCGGAGCUUCUCAGAAGACAGAGGGUUUUCUUUUGAGUACCGUCUGGCAAAUGAUCUGCUUGGAUCCUCCUGGCUUUUUGAGAAUCGGCUGGCAUCAGGGUGCUGACUGACAAACUUCCCGGGGUCUGGGCACGGUGGGGACGGAGCCUGCAGACGGCGGUGUCCCCGCUAGAAGAGCCGUGGGGACGUGAUUAACAGGUCAGGC
rnacentral:lncRNA from 1 species